CCUUUAGCUCAGUUGGUUAGAGCAGAGGACUCAUAAUCCUUUGGUCCACGGUUCAAGUCCGUGAA
rnacentral:tRNA from 1 species